UACGGGGGGUGCAAGCGUUGUCCGGAUUUACUGGGCGUAAAGGGCGCGUAGGCGGCUUUAUAAGUCGGGGGUGAAAGCCUGUGGCUCAACCACAGAAUUGCCUUCGAUACUGUAGAGCUUGAGACCGGAAGAGGUAAGUGGAACUGCGAGUGUAGAGGUGAAAUUCGUAGAUAUUCGCAAGAACACCAGUGGCGAAGGCGGCUUACUGGUCCGGUUCUGACGCUGAGGCGCGAAAGCGUGGGGAGCAAACAGG
rnacentral:rRNA from 1 species